UCGUGUAUAUAUUGUCAGAUUUUAACUCCAAAAAAUAUUACUGUUAAACAAUCAAAAUUUGUCUCAAUCAAUACAUAAUUUGUGAUAAGUAAUGUGGUUAAAAUAAAAUGUUUACAAAACCAACACAUAAUUGUGGUCAUAGAGUAAAUAGAUAGUUAUAAAUUGAUUUUUUUUUCUUUUUUCAUUUUUAAUUGAGUAAUGUUUUAUAAGAAGUAAUAUUUGAACUCUAAAGUUUGGUCUUCCGUUGUAAUUACUCUCUCCAUCCUGAGAAGGAUGACUAAAAUUAUAAUUAUUUUUGUUCUUAAAAAAAUGGGAUAAAAUACAUAAAAUGAACGGUAUAAUUUAGUAUGGUCCGUUAGUAUAUAUAAAAAAAAUUACUCAUCGUUUUAUGAAUCUCGUGGGACUACUUAGGAAAAUUUUGAAACUUUAUUUAUCGUUUUUCCUCUACUUUUAUCUUUCUUAAGAUUGAGAGAGGCAAUUGAAGACUUUUACUCUUAAGCGCAGCAGAAGCAUAAUACAUACAAGAUGGCUUCUCUCAAUUCAUGUAAGUACCUAAUUGAUUUUAUUCUAUGUAAUAGCACGUUCCAGUAUAAUUUAUUUAACAUUUGGUAUCAGAGAUGUGGUUACGCUAUUGCAUGAAAUAAAUUAAUUAUGUUGUUAUGCGAGAAUUUUUUUCUUUAAUUCUACAUAUUCUCUUUAUUGGUAUAAUAUAGAACUAAUUAGUAUGUUAAGGAAUUUUUGAAUGGAAAUAAAUUUUUACGAAAAGGAAUUUGUAAUCUGAUUCGUAAACUGAUUAUGAUUCCUCGUGGCUUUCGGAAAUUAACAAUUAUGUUUCUGUUGCGCUGUAUUCAUGAAAUCAAACGUGAAUACUUAUGAUACUAUUUUGUUAGAAUAUACAAAUUAUUGUCUCGAUAUACAUGACUGUAUAUACAUCAAGUAUUAUUUAUAUAUGUUGAACAUGAAUUCAUG
rnacentral:lncRNA from 1 species